rnacentral:lncRNA from 12 species
CAGACACUCUUCACUUCCACCCAAUUCCACGCUGCUUGCAAAUGGAACAGGGGAAAAACUCUGCAGCCUGUGGGCUCUGACAGGCAGUUUCCCCAAUGAGCCGUGUGGGAGCCGAUGGGGAAGGUGGGGAUGUUGGCACAGCCCGG